UCAAGAUAUAUUUGGAAUCUGACAGGUUCAUCUCUUGCUGGAAUACGGCUCGACGUUGUACAGAGCCACCCGAUUCUAUUGGAUUCAGUCAACUGCUACCUCAGGCCCUCUCAAUUCCUGCGGUUUUCUUGGAUUCUCGAACUGCUCGGGGAUAUUUACUUGAGUUUAUUGAGUACUCGCUCUCCGGAGAGUACAUAGCGACUUCUUCUAUUAACUGGUCAUCCUACGAAUGAUCUGUUUGCGGAUAUUUCUGCACUAUUGAUACGCAGAAUUAAACACGGAUUUCCUUUCUUAUCAUAGAGCUAUUUUCAUAGUUCAUCCAACAAAUGAUUUGUUCGCGGAUAUUUCUGCACUACUGCUACGAAGAAUUAUUCACGGAAUACUUUGUGCCUUUAUAUUGUACCACACGCACCACGUCUAUUUUAAAUCUCAUGCUUCCAUUGUUGUGGAUGAAGAGGAAUUUCACAUCAAGGAUAAUCAAGAAAUGGUAAGGAGGAGUCACAAACUAAAAUACUGCUAUCCUUUUUACCGGUGGUGGUGAAAAUAUACCAGGCUGAACUAAAAUGUAGCGGAAUUUGAUAGUGUGUGAAAAUAUGGCACGGAUGAAAUGUCUAACCUUUUUGCCAGUUUUGUAUGGUUCAAGGUUUGACUGUUUAACUCCACAAUAUUCAUGCGCCUUUUCUACUGUAGUUAAUUUUACC